ensembl:snoRNA
CGAGCCUCAAUAAUUAGAGUUUUUAUGAACCAAAGAUCAUGAUUAAACCAAUUCCGGGCCUCUGAGGCCCAUU